AUUAUAUGUUAUGUCGGCGGCAUUCUGCUAUAAUUACGGAAACAAUAAAAUAUUGUCUCUCAGGGGAAGGGAAACCGGUGCGUAUUUUCUAUGCCGGUGCGGCCCCGCCACUGUAGCUCGGACGAAAGCGAAAGGAUGCCACUGGAUUUUUCCGGGAAGGCUCGCGAUUAGGAUGAAGGGAAGCCAGGAAACCUGCCUGUGAGAGCUCAAGGGG
rfam:Synergistes jonesii strain 78-1 contig_54, whole genome shotgun sequence.